AAAUCUAUACUAAAGAUUUGUUCUCAUCUGUACAAUAGCAUAUAUAAGGCAACAAAAUGAACGGAAAGGGCACCGAUGAAAGCGGUGGAAUGUCAUAUGGGUUUGUAAACUAACAGAGGACGUAAACUGAAGGUAUUAUACUACUGAAGAAGGAGAUAAAAGAAAGGAAAGGAAUGCCAAGAAGAUCUUUUAAAAGCAUGGAAUACAAAAGAGGCUCAUUGAAACCCUAAAAAAAGCAGCUGCAUCCUCUCUACCCAAACGAAAAAGUGAGACGAAAAUAUCGACAUAGGCUGGUAUCUACCUACACAGAGCUUGGAAAGGUGCAGAAGAGUGAUUCAUCCAUGAGAAACUCUUCAGCUACACCUGCAGAUGUGGAAAAUCGGUGCUAAUCAAAAGAUUACCAAAUAUUUGAGGAUGAGAAACUAUGUAUCUCUACACAGUUUGAAGUGCAAAGGUUACCAAAGGAUUUAAGGAUGAGAAAUUUUGAAACUCUCAUCGUCUAAGUGCAAAGGUUAUGAAUUUAUUUAAGGUACAUAUGGAAGGA